rnacentral:lncRNA from 1 species
UAAAAUCUGUACCAAACAAACUCUUAAUCACAAAUCAUCCAAUUGUAAAUUUCUAAAAUAAAAAUGCAUGAUCAAGUGAAGAACUAAAGAAGAAACCCUAUCUGCCCAUUCCCACUAGGGCUCCUUGCCACCAUCUCGUAUCUCUCGCCACCAACCACCUCUACUCAACUCAUUUCACAUUUCCUCACUUAUAUGGCUCCAUCUCAAUCAUUCUCGCCAAGUGAUGUGGUGGUGGCCGCGCUUUUGGGGUGUUUAGUGGUGCUCGUGAUUUAUGGGUGUAGUGGUGGACCGAUGGUUGUGGUGGUGGAUCGAUGGUUGUUGUUUAUGUCUAUGAUGGUGGUAGUGGUUUACGACUAGCCUUAAUCAUUUGAACCAAAGAUUUUUCAAUUUGAGGAGAUUUGAUUUUAAAAAAGGCGUCAAUUCAGUUUUCA